rnacentral:lncRNA from 1 species
UUAUAUAAUGGAGAUAUAGGCGUUCAAAGUUAAGGUGUUGAUUUGGGAGCUACUGUCACUCUUUUUGGCAUAAUGCACGCGUAUAGAAAGCAAUUGAAGAUCGGCGAGUGCAACUGGAGAGAGCACUUUUGCGGCUACACUUUUUACAUACUGGAUUCUAAGUUAAACUGAAGAAAUUAUUGGAUUUUGAGGUCAACGCAUGCAAUCUAAGGGUAGUAAGUGACCCGAUUUACUAGUGGUUGUAUCUUGAGCUAUAUCUUGAGCAAUUUGACAAGGUUUUGG